GACGGAAACCUCGGUGGAAGAUUACUAAUGAGAGUGGCGAACGGGUGAGUAACGCGUGAGCAACCUGCCUAUGACAGUGGGAUAGCCUCGGGAAACCGGGAUUAAUACCGCAUAAAAUCGUAGAAACACAUGUUUCAACGGUCAAAGAUUUAUCGGUCAUAGAUGGGCUCGCGUCUGAUUAGCUAGUUGGUGAGAUAACAGCCCACCAAGGCGACGAUCAGUAGCCGGUCUGAGAGGAUGAACGGCCACAUUGGAACUGAGACACGGUCCAAACUCCUACGGGAGGCAGCAGUGGGGAAUAUUGCACAAUGGGGGAAACCCUGAUGCAGCGACGCCGCGUGAACGAAGAAGGUAUUCGUAUCGUAAAGUUCUGUCCUAUGGGAAGAUAAUGACAGUACCAUAGAAGAAAGCUCCGGCUAAAUACGUGCCAGCAGCCGCGGUAAUACGUAUGGAGCGAGCGUUGUCCGGAAUUAUUGGGCGUAAAGGGUACGCAGGCGGUUUAAUAAGUCGAAUGUUAAAGAUCGGGGCUCAACCCCGUAAAGCAUUGGAAACUGAUAAACUUGAGUAGUGGAGAGGAAAGUGGAAUUCCUAGUGUAGUGGUGAAAUACGUA
rnacentral:rRNA from 1 species